rnacentral:rRNA from 1 species
GACGAACCGAGCGAACGUUGUUCGGAAUCACUGGGCUUAAAGGGCGCGUAGGCGGAUUCUCAAGUCCGGGGUGAAAUCCCACAGCUCAACUGUGGAACUGCCUUUGAUACUGGAGAGCUUGAGUCCGGAAGAGGUGAGUGGAACUCCGAGUGUAGAGGUGAAAUUCGUAGAUAUUCGGAAGAACACCAGUGGCGAAGGCGGCUCACUGGUCCGGUACUGACGCUGAUGUGCGAAAGCGUGGGGAGCAAACAGG